UUCUUAAUCGACUGUGGACCGUGAGAG
rnacentral:piRNA from 1 species